GGUUCGAUCAUGGCUCAGAUUGAACGCUGGCGGGAUGCUUUACAUGCAAGUCGAACGGCAGCACGGACUUCGGUCUGGUGGCGAGUGGCGAACGGGUGAGUAAUGUAUCGGAACGUGCCUAGCGGGGGAUAACUACGCGAAAGCGUAGCUAAUACCGCAUACGCUCCUCGGGGAAAGCGGGGACCUUUCGGCCUCGCACUAUUAGAGCGGCCGAUAUCGGAUUAGCUAGUUGCGGGUAACGGCUCACCAAGGCGACGAUCCGUAGCUGGUUUGAGAGGACGACCAGCCACACUGGGACUGAGACAUUACCCAGACCUCACGGACAGCAAUGGGGAAUUUUGGACAAUGGGGGAAACCCCGAUCCAGCCAUCCCGCGUGUGCGAUGAAGGCCUUCGGGUUAAAGCACUUUUGGCAGGAAAGAAACGUGCAGCACGGGAUACACCCUGCGUGCAACUGACGGUACCUGCAGAAUAAGCACCGGCUAACUACGUGCCAGCAGCCGCGGUAAUACGUAGGGUGCAAGCGUUAAUCGGAAUUACUGGGCGUAAAGCGUGCAGGCGGUUCGAAAGGUAAGAUGUGGAAAUCCCAGGAGCUUAACUUUGAACUGCAUUUUUAACUGCACGAGCUGAUGUGUCAGAGGGAGGUGGAAUUCGCGUGUAGCAGUGAAAUGCGUAGAUAUGAGAACACUGAUAUGAAGGCAGCCUCCCUGGGAUAACACUGACGCUCAUGCACGAAAGCGUGGGGAGCAAACAGGAUUAGAUACCCUGGUAGUCCACGCCCUAAGCGAUGUCAACUAGCUGUUGGGGCCUUCGGGCCUCAGGUAGCGCAGCUAACGCGUGAAGUUGGACUGCCUGUAGGCGGUCGCAGAUUGUUCCAAAGGAAUUGACGGGGACCCGCACAAGCGGUGGAUGAUGUUGAUUAAUUCGAUGUGCAACGCGAAAAAACCUACCCUUACCCUGAUGUCUGAAUCCCAGUGGACUGGGGAGUGCUCGCAAGAGAACCGGAACACAGGUGCUGCAUGGCUGUCGUCAGCUCGUGUCGUGAGAUGUUGGGUUAAGUCCCGCAACGAGCGCAACCUUGUCACAGUUGCUACGAAAGGGCACUCUAAUGAGACUGCCGGUGACAAACCGGAGGAAGGUGGGGAUGACGUCAAGUCCUCAUGGCCCUUAUGGGUAGGGCUUCACACGUCAUACAAUGGUCGGGACAGAGGGUCGCCAACCCGCGAGGGGGAGCCAGAAUCCGCAGGAGAAACCCGAUCGUAGUCCGAUCGCAGUCUGCAACUCGACUGCGUGAAGUCGGAAUCGCUAGUAAUCGCGGAUCAGCAUGUCGCGGUGAAUACGCGUUCCCGGGUCUUGUACACACCGCCCGUCACACCAUGGGAGGGAGCCAACAGAAGUAGUUAGCCUAACCGUAAGGAGGGCGAUUACCACGGUAGAUCUGUUAUGAUCAGAAGUCGUAACAAGGUAA
rnacentral:rRNA from 1 species